rnacentral:rRNA from 1 species
GAUGAACGCUGGCGGCGUGCCUAAUACGUGCAAGUCGAGCGAACGGGCGAGAAGCUUGCUUCUCUGAUGUUAGCGGCGGACGGGUGAGUAACACGUGGAUAACCUACCUAUAAGACUGGGAUAACUUCGGGAAACCGGAGCUAAUACCGGAUAAUAUUUUGAACCGCAUGGUUCAAAAGUGAAAGACGGUCUUGCUGUCACUUAUAGAUGGAUCCGCGCUGCAUUAGCUAGUUGGUAAGGUAACGGCUUACCAAGGCAACGAUGCAUAGCCGACCUGAGAGGGUGAUCGGCCACACUGGAACUGAGACACGGUCCAGACUCCUACGGGAGGCAGCAGUAGGGAAUCUUCCGCAAUGGGCGAAAGCCUGACGGAGCAACGCCGCGUGAGUGAUGAAGGUCUUCGGAUCGUAAAACUCUGUUAUUAGGGAAGAACAUAUGUGUAAGUAACUGUGCACAUCUUGACGGUACCUAAUCAGAAAGCCACGGCUAACUACGUG